AUUGAACGCUGGCGGCAGGCUUAACACAUGCAAGUCGAGCGGAGUUGUGGUGCUUGCACCAUAACUUAGCGGCGGACGGGUGAGUAAUGCUUAGGAAUCUGCCUAUUAGUGGGGGACAACAUUUCGAAAGGAAUGCUAAUACCGCAUACGCCCUACGGGGGAAAGCAGGGGAUCUUCGGACCUUGCGCUAAUAGAUGAGCCUAAGUCGGAUUAGCUAGUUGGUGGGGUAAAGGCCUACCAAGGCGACGAUCUGUAGCGGGUCUGAGAGGAUGAUCCGCCACACUGGGACUGAGACACGGCCCAGACUCCUACGGGAGGCAGCAGUGGGGAAUAUUGGACAAUGGGCGGAAGCCUGAUCCAGCCAUGCCGCGUGUGUGAAGAAGGCCUUUUGGUUGUAAAGCACUUUAAGCGAGGAGGAGGCUCUCCUAGUUAAUACCUAGGAAGAGUGGACGUUACUCGCAGAAUAAGCACCGGCUAACUCUGUGCCAGCAGCCGCAGUAAAAC
rnacentral:rRNA from 1 species